rnacentral:rRNA from 1 species
UACGAGGGGUGCAAGCGUUGCUCGGAAUUAUUGGGCGUAAAGGGUAGGUAGGUGGUCUCAUUUGUCCGGGGUGAAAGCCUUGAGCUUAACUCAAGAAGUGCCUCGGAAACGGUGAGACUGGAGUCCUGGAGAGGGUCGUGGAAUUCCCGGUGUAGCGGUGAAAUGCGUAGAUAUCUGGAGGAACACCGGUGGCGAAGGCGGCGUCCUGGACCAAUUCUGACACUGAGGAGCGAAAGCCAGGGGAGCAAACAGG